GUUGAGUUGCAGAUACUGGUGCUGGAGUGCACAGGGUUUUCCAAUGGCGGGCUAGGUGUCGAGUGCAGAGUUUAGCGUUGAGUGCAGAUUCUGGUGCGGAGUGCAGAAGUGGGCAUUGGGGAAGCCACAUGUCAGAGUUAGAUGCUGAGUGCAGGGCUUG